ACAGUCACAUCACUUUGAAACAUCAGUUCUCGUACGAUCACCGAAGUUAAGCAAUUUCGUUCCUGGUUAGUAGUUAGGUGGGUGAUCACUUCGGAAUACCAUGUGCUGUAA